GAUGAACGCUGGCGGCGUGCCUAAUACAUGCAAGUCGAGCGAACGGACGAGAAGCUUGCUUCUCUGAUGUUAGCGGCGGACGGGUGAGUAACACGUGGAUAACCUACCUAUAAGACUGGGAUAACUUCGGGAAACCGGCGCUAAUACCGGAUAAUAUUUUGAACCGCAUGGUUCAAAAGUGAAAGACGGUCUUGCUGUCACUUAUAGAUGGAUCCGCGCUGCAUUAGCUAGUUGGUAAGGUAACGGCUUACCAAGGCAACGAUGCAUAGCCGACCUGAGAGGGAGAUCGGCCACACUGGAACUGAGACACGGUCCAGACUCCUACGGGAGGCAGCAGUAGGGAAUCUUCCGCAAUGGGCGAAAGCCUGACGGAGCAACGCCGCGUGAGUGAUGAAGGUCUUCGGAUCGUAAAACUCUGUUAUUAGGGAAGAACAUAUGUGUAAGUAACUGUGCACAUCUUGACGGUACCUAAUCAGAAAGCCACGGCUAACUACGUG
rnacentral:rRNA from 1 species